rnacentral:rRNA from 1 species
AUUCUGGCUCAGGAUGAACGCUGGCGGCGUGCCUAACACAUGCAAGUCGAACGGAGUCAUAAAGCGGAAGUUUCGGAUGGAAGAAUUAUGACUUAGUGGCGGACGGGUGAGUAACGCGUGGGUAACCUGCCUUGUACCGGGGGAUAACACUUAGAAAUAGGUGCUAAUACCGCAUAAGCGCACAGCUUCGCAUGGAGCAGUGUGAAAAACUCCGGUGGUACAAGAUGGACCCGCGUCUGAUUAGCUAGUUGGUGGGGUAGUGGCCCACCAAGGCGACGAUCAGUAGCCGGCCUGAGAGGGUGAUCGGCCACAUUGGGACUGAGACACGGCCCAAACUCCUACGGGAGGCAGCAGUGGGGAAUAUUGCACAAGUGGGGGAAACCCUGAAUGCAGCGACGCCGCGUGAGUGAAGACGUAUUUCGGUAUGUAAAGCUCUAUCAGCAGGGAAGAAAAUGACGGUACCUGACUAAGAACGCCCGGCUAACUACGUGCCAGCCGCCGC